ensembl:lncRNA
AUUUAUUUGUAGAAUGGAACGUUAGCUACUCAUGAAUCUGCUUGUAUCCAAUAGCCAGUUAGCUGGCUAUCGUGACUCUAUGAUAAAAGCUAACGUUAACGUUUAGCGUGAUGACUAGCUUGUUAACGCGGCACUUUUCCAAAAUGACGCCUGGGAUGUAUUCUUUAUUUUAAUCGAUGAGAUCCAGGUUCCUUUGAGUACCGCUGUCACCAUGUUUCAAUAUGCUUUGUGUUGUAGUCACGACAGACAAAUAUAUAUAGUUAAGCAAACUUUACUAUGCAUGUUGUCAACCAGCACAUUCAGUACAUUAAUAAGUGACAUCAUGGACCCCACUCCUGAGCCCAAGACCAGAGCGGAGGUUUGAAAGUGUAAGUAAAACACAUUAUAAUCCCGGAACUACCUGAUAAAUCUGUCACGGGGGAUUCUUGCCAGUGGACCUUGGAACCCAACACAGUCAAUGAGCACCUGUAUCUGUCUGAGGGGAACCGGAUGGUUACUGGAAUUGUGUAGACUUUCUUAGUGUCCAACAAGCUUUCUCUGCCCUUAGCCUUGUUCUGAACACCUCCAAAACAAAAGUCAUGUGGUUUGGUAAGAAGAAUGCCCCUCUCCCCACAGAGGUGAUUACUACCGCUGAGGAUUUAGAGCUUGAGGUAGUCACCUCAUACAAGCACUUGGGAGUAUGACUAGACGGUACACUGUCCUUCUCUCAGCACAUAUCAAAGCUGCAGGCUAAAGUUAGAGGAAACCAAGUCUAGAUUUAUCGUAAUCGUUCCUCUUUCACUCCAGCUGCCAAACUAAACCCUGAUUCAGAUGACCAUCCUACCCAUGCUAGAUUACGGAGAUGUAAUUUAUAGAUCGACAGGCCUCACUCACCCCUAUCUGAGAUAUCUACUGCAGCCCUCAUCCUCCACAUACAACAACUGUUCUGCCAGUCGCAUUCUGUUAAAGGUCCCUAAAGCAUACGCAUCCCUGGGUCACUCGUCUUUUCAGUUUGCUGCAGUUAGUGAAUGGAACGAGCUGCAACAAACACUCAAACUGGACAGUUUUAUCUUAAUCUCUUCAUUCGAAGACUCAGUCAUGGAUACUUUUACUGACAGUUGUGGCUGCUUUGCAUGAUGUGUUGUUGUCUCUACAUUCUUGCCCUUUGUGUUGUUGUCUGUGCCCAAUAAUGUUUGUACCAUGUUUUGUGCUGCUACCAUGUUAUUUUUAUAUAUAUUUAUUAUUUUUAUCCCAGCCCCCGUCCCCACAGGAGGCCUUUUGCCUUUUGGUAGGCC